UCCAAGGUGCCGCACUCCUCCCACUGUGUCUCUGCAUACACACCCAGCCCCUUCCAGAGCCCCCUCUCCUUCCUGGGGACAGGACGGUGGGACUGGCAGGCUAAGGCUGUACAUGAGAGGGAGCCGACACUGGACUCCUGAUUUCACCAGACAGGUAAAGUGUGACUGAGAGAGGAGAAGCGACCUUCUCAACGCCCCAAGACCAGUGGGUGGCAGAGCCGGAUGUUGAACUCACAUUUCUUUGACACCCAAGCCUGCACUUGUUGAACCGCCCAGGCAGGCAGGAAACUGAGGAUGGGAGAAUGAGGAACUCAAACCUUCUACAAGGUUCUCAGCACCUGGAGAUCCGCAGCCAGUUUUCAUGGCAGCCCAGGCCCCAGGCCACUGAGCAAGUCUUGCCUCCCAUUCUUGCAUCUUCUCUCAGGACCAGGGUCCUGUGUCCUGGGAUGAGACAGGCUGAAGGGGAACCUAGUGCUGCACUGUGCGGGGAGGGGGCUGUUGGGACAUCGGCAGCCCAGGAGUCCUGGUUUCACCCAUUCCUUAGCUGUGUAAUGUAAGGCAUGCAGCUUCACCUCUCUGAGCCUCAGUUUCCCCCUCCUCCCCACCUUACUUUCUCUGUUCCUGCUAAAACUGGAAUGGUAGUAAUAGCAACUUCUUCAUGGGUUGUUUGAAGAAUUUAUUGACACAACUCACAUAAAGCACUUAGGAUGGAAACUGGUGUCUUAGCAUGGAACCUUAGCAUGGAACCUGGUAUCUUAGCAUGGAACCUUAGCAUGGAACCUGGUAUCUUAGCAUGGAACCUGGUGUCUUAGCAUGGAACCUUAGCAUGGAACCUGGUGCCUUAGCAUGGAACCUGGUAUCUUAGUAUGGAAACUUAGCAUGGAACCUAGUGCCUUAGCAUGGAAUCUUAUCAUGGAACCUGGUGUCUUAGCAUGGAAUCUUAUCAUGGAACCUGGUGCCUUAGCAUGGAACCUUAGCAUGGAACCCUAGCCUGGAACCCGGUGCCUUAGCAUGGAAUCUUAGCAUAAAACCUGGUGCCUUAGCAUGAAGACUGGUGUCUAAUUGCUUAAUAAAUGAUAACCACUAUUAUUAUUAUUAUUAUGGACUAUCCCACCCAAUGUCCACACUCAAGCCCUUUGGUAUUCAAGGUUCUGAUGAGACUGGCCCAAGGGAAGCAGCUGGGUGGGCAUUAGCCGGAGGACACAGAGG
rnacentral:lncRNA from 1 species